GCUUCAGGAUGAGUCUGCGGCCGAUUAGGUAGUUGUUGGGGUAAAAGCCCAACAAGCCCGUAAUCGGUACGGGUUGUGGGAGCAAGAGCCCGGAGAUGGAUUCUGAGACACGAAUCCAGGCCCUACGGGGCGCAGCAGGCGCGAAAACUUUACAAUGCGGGCAACCGUGAUAAGGAAACCCCGAGUGCCAGCACAGGCUGGCUGUCCGCCAGUUUAAAUAACUGGUGAAGAAAGGGCCGGGCAAGACCGGUGCCAGCCGCCGCGGUAAUACCGGCGGCUCGAGUGGUGGCCGCUUUUACUGGGCUUAAAGGGUCCGUAGCUUGAUUCAUGGGUCCCUUGAGAAAUCUAUCGGCUUAACUGAUAGGCGUUCAGGGGAAACUGUGAUUCUAGGGACCGGGAGAGGUGAGAGGUACUGCCGGGGUAGGAGUGAAAUCCUGUAAUCCCGGUGGGACGACCUAUGGCGAAGGCAUCUCACCAGAACGGCUCCGACAGUGAGGGACGAAAGCUGGGGGAGCAAACCGGAUUAGAUACCCGGGUAGUCCUGGCCGUAAACGAUGUGGACUUGGUGUUGGAAUGGCUUCGAGCUGCUCCAGUGCCGAAGGGAAGCUGUUAAGUCCACCGCCUGGGAAGUACGGUCGCAAGACUGAAACUUAAAGGAAUUGGCGGGGGGAGCACCACA
rnacentral:rRNA from 1 species